CACACGGCCUGGACACGCUGCCGAGGAGCCUCUGCUUUUAACCCUCCAGGCUUUCCAGGUUUAGAAUUCCUGCUAGUCAAGCUUCUUUCUGGGAAAAGACCUACAAGAGUUUAUACUUAAUAAGGAUCAAUUGUGAUAUGCUGGAAGACUGGGAAUGAAAGGCAAGAAGCUCCAGAAAGAAUCUGGAGAAAUUUACAGAAGAAAGAGA
rnacentral:lncRNA from 1 species